rnacentral:rRNA from 1 species
UACGUAGGGGGCAAGCGUUGUCCGGAUUUAUUGGGCGUAAAGAGCUCGUAGGCGGCUUGGCAAGUCGGGUGUGAAAACUUCAGGCUCAACCUGGAGCGGCCACUCGAUACUGCUAUGGCUUGAGUCCGGUAGGGGACCACGGAAUUCCUGGUGUAGCGGUGAAAUGACGCAGAUAUCUGGAGGAACACCGGUGGCGAAGGCGGCAUUCUGGACCGACAUUGACGCUGAGGAGCGAAAGCCAGGGGAGCAAAGCGGG